rnacentral:rRNA from 1 species
AACGUACGCUGGCGGCACGCCUAACACAUGCAAGUCGAACGAAGUAGCAAUACUUAGUGGCAGACGGGUGAGUAACAUGUGGGUAUCUUCCCUUUGGCCUGGAAUAACACGAGGAAACUUGUGCUAAUACUGGAUAAGUCUUUACGGAGAAAGCUUUAUGCACCAUUGGAUGAGCCCGCACUUGAUUAGUUUGUUGGUAGGGUAAUGGCCUACCAAGACUGUGAUCAAUAGCUGAUUUGAGAGGAUGAUCAGCCACAUUGGGACUGAGACACGGCCCAAACUCCUACGGGAGGCAGCAGUGGGGAAUCUUGCACAAUGGAGGAAACUCUGAUGCAGCGAUGCCGCGUGAGUGAAGAAGGCCUUUGGGUUGUAAAGCUCUUUCGUCGGGGAAGAAAAUGACUGUACCCGAAUAAGAAGGUCCGGCUAACUUCGUGCCAGCAGCCGCGGUAAUACGAAGGGACCUAGCGUAGUUCGGAAUUACUGGGCUUAAAGAGUUCGUAGGUGGUUGAAAAAGUUGGUGGUGAAAUCCCAGAGCUUAACUCUGGAACUGCCAUUAAAACUUUUCAGCUAGAGUAUGAUAGAGGAAAGCAGAAUUUCUAGUGUAGAGGUGAAAUUCGUAGAUAUUAGAAAGAAUACCAAUUGCGAAGGCAGCUUUCUGGAUCGUUACUGACACUGAGGAACGAAAGCAUGGGUAGCGAAGAGGAUUAGAUACCCUCGUAGUCCAUGCCGUAAACGAUGUGUGUUAGACGUUGGAAAUUUAUUUUCAGUGUCGCAGGGAAACUGAUAAACACACUGCCUGGGGAGUACGACCGCAAGGUUA